GAAAUGCGAUAAGUAGUGUGAAUUGCAGAAUUCAGUGAAUCAUCGAAUCUUUGAACGCACAUUGCGCCCUUUGGUAUUCCUUAGGGCAUGCCUGUUCGGGCGUCAUCUAAACCUUCAAGCCCUGCUUGGUGUUGGGUGCCUGUCCCGCCUCCGCGCGCGGACUCACCUCAAAUCCAUUGGCGGCCCCCGCGUCGGCCACGAGCGCAGCAGAAACGCGAACUCGUGAGCCCGUCCGGGCGGCUCCCAGAAGCUACACCCACCCAGUUUGACCUCGGAUCAGGUAGGGAUACCCGCUGAACUUAAGC
rnacentral:misc_RNA from 1 species